GACGUAGGGGGCGAGCGUUGUCCGGAAUUAUUGGGCGUAAAGGGUAGGUAGGUGGUCUCAUUUGUCUGGGGUGAAAGCCUUGGGCUUAACCCAAGAAGUGCCCCAGAAACGGUGAGACUCGAGUGCUGGAGAGGGUCGUGGAAUUCCCGGUGUAGCGGUGAAAUGCGUAGAGAUCGGGAGGAACACCAGAGGCGAAGGCGGCGACCUGGACAGUUACUGACACUAAACUACGAAAGCGUGGGGAGCAAACAGG
rnacentral:rRNA from 1 species